rnacentral:lncRNA from 1 species
UUUUUCUGGACCUGACGAUUUUGAAUGAUCAUUCAAUCUGGGCCGAGUCGUUUUUGGACCAUUGGAGGGUCAGAAGCGAGCUCACGUGGUUCAACCGCAGGUGUGCAUCUCCUGCUCACGCGUGAUUGGCGCGUCUCGCGCUCCCGCGCGCUCCUCGCCGGCCCGUUUUUCUGUCUUUAGCGCGCGUUCUCCACAGACGAAGCUCGCCGCGCGUAGCUCCUGUCGUUACCCAGUCUUUCACGUGCACCUGCUGCCUUCUGCCGCCAUCUGGGUCCCGCGUCUGCAGUUUUGGGUUUCCUCCUUGCAACUCGACCCAUUUUGGGUCGUCUGUGUAGUAGGAACCCAUAAUUGGGUAUGGGUUUUAAUUGUUGGAGAUGAAUUUUUAUGGGUUUUGAGUAUGGGUUUGGGUAUGGCAACCAUUGUUGGAGAUGCCCUUAUAUAUAGAUCAAUUCUGCAAAUUUUCAACCAAUUUGUUGAUCGGUGUCGAACAAGAUUAAAUCAAUGAACAAACCAAAUCUACCAAACUUGAACCGUUCAUGUUUAUAAUUAUAAAUAGUAGUUUUGAAUGCCUUAAUGAUCACAAAAAUUUCUGAAAAUUUACAGAAAUGAUCUACUCAUAUAUAUAGAACUACAUAUUGAACGGUGUAGAUAUGAUUUUGGCAGCCCAACUCCGGCGACGUUCAAUGCCUCCCAAAUUUUAACAGAAUAAUCCUCUCAUCAAACACAACAACUUUCAUAACUAGCACUUAGUCCAAUUCUAAGGCUAACUAGGGUUAUCGAACCCAAACAUCCAAAAAUCCCUAAUUCAAACCCUAGCCCGAAAAUUCUCCUACACACUUCGAAUUGGCUAAUUACCUUCUAGGGGAUUGUUACACAGGGAAAACACUUCCAAAUGAGACCUGAAUUAUCGGUGAUGACGUCCGGAGAAGUGAGUUCCGACGACAGGACUCCACAAUGCAGUCGGAGCUUCCGGGCGAUCUCUCUCCCUCACGACGGCGCUAGGGCAGCUCCCACCUGUCCAAGAAGAGAGCUGGGUUGACGGCCGACCGUUUGGGACCGGUGCGACGGUCGAUGGUGGCUGGACGGCGGCGGACGACGCUGGGGAACUUCCGGUAGGAGAAGGGCUCGGGGGAGAGAAGAGGGAAGGGAGAGAGAGAGAAAUGAGGUGGGCUUUUCCCUCCUCUUGGCCCGGUCCAGAAAUUAAUACCCCAAAAAUAAAACCCAACAACAAUUUUUACCUUUUACUAAAUAAUGCUUACUCUUUUAUCUGACAACUUUUACAUGUUAUCUCCGAUUUAAGCGUGCCACAUGCCUACAAACUCUGCUUAACGUCCUCCACGACUUUCAUGAAGAAAAUUUUCCCAAAAUAGUUUUCUUACAAAAAGUCAACUGCAGGGUCCUUAAAUAGUAAAUGGUUACUCAACUCAGUAAAAUGUCAAAAUAACCUAAAAGUCAAUAACCGUAAAUUAACUUAAGAACCAGGAUGUGACAAUUCUCCCAUACUUAUAAAAAUUUCGUCCUCGAAAUUUCAAAUCAUGCAAAGGGGUAGAGAUUACUUCUUUUCACCUCAGACUCCAAUAAGUGCUAGGCUAAAUCAUCCCAUCAUCAAUGCUCUUCAAACUUUCUUCUAUCACAAAUUACACCAUUUUCACUUGUAGAAACAGUUAACCGAAUUCUUUUCCACUUACAUUGGCACAUCAAAACUUAUCGACCAAACCCAAGGCGUGAGCAUAUGCUUUAACCAAUCUCUAACUUAGGGUCAACUGGCAUACUCUGCCAACAAUCCACAUGGCACCACUCACACAAUACACUUUGUCACAUCCCGACCCUUAUAUAUAUAUAUAUAUAUAUUUUUUUUACCUUAUUUACUAGCCUGAUUAUAAUAAGAAUUUUACCGUCUCGAUCAUUGAGUAAAUAGUUUAAUUGGUCCCUAGAGGGGUUUCGGGGACGAUUAUGUGCGGAGGAUUAUUCGUAUGAGGAAAAUACGACGAUGGUACAAAAUGGUAAAUUUUAGCUAGUAAAAGGUAAUUUUUAUUCGGGUAUUAUUUUCGGGGUGUUUAAUUUUAGAAUUUGGAUAGUUUUUAAGUGAUUGACCGGUUUGGGGUGUGAGGCCCAAACCCAUUCUUUUUCCUCCCGAUUUUCUCUCCUCACCCGCUCCCGCACCCGAGCCCUCCCGCUGUCCCGUUUUCCGACCGCCAGACCGCCGCCGCACCGGUCCCAAUCGAUCGGUCUUCAACCCAGCAACCUUCUUGGACCGGUGACAGCUCCCCUAGCGUCGCCGUGAGGGAGAUAUCGGGCCCGAGAGGUCCGACUGUGUUAGGGAUCACGUCGCCGGAACUUCCUCCUCCGGCCAUCAAUCCGGGCAAGCUUGGCACGGUUUUGUAGCCCUCCUCCCGUGCAGCAACCCCUCCAAGCAGCUCCCUCCCUCUUGAGCUAGGUAAGGAGAAAUGUGGAGUUGAAAUUUCUAGGGCUUUUAAGUUGUUUUCGUUCGAUUAGCCUAGUUAGGCUUGGAAUUGGGUGAUGUGUUGGUCAUGAAAGUUGUAGAGGAGAUUGAGAGGAAGUUUCUGUUAAAAUUUGGUAGCAUUUGCAGGUCGCCGGAGUUGGUCGCCGGCCGCCGCUGUUUUGGGAAAUUUUGUGGUUUUUGAUGUAGAAUAUUAAGGUGAUAUUAUUGAGGUGAAUUUUGGAAUUUUUGGAUGAGAUUUGGAUAGGUUUGUGAAUUUCCGAAGUGUGGUAUUUUUGGCGGGUAAUUAAUGUAGCAUCCGGCCGUAGGAUUUAAGUCGUAUUUUGGAGAGGUUGUAUUUACGACUGUUGAGUACGAUAUUUAAGUUCGGAUCGUUCCGAUUUAAGAAUAUCGAAGUUAGGCAAUGAUGAGCGUAAUUAUGGCUCUCGGGUAAUUUUGCCUAUUUUGAUUAAAUAUUGGAUUAUUGGUUGGGAAAUUAAUAUUAUAUUUGGAACAGGACGUGAGGAGGCUCGAGCAGACGAGACCCCAGAUCGACAUCAGGCUUAGGCCUAAUUUGUGAGUGGACUUUUAUUUGAAAUAAUAUGCAUGCUAUGGUUCAUGAUUGAACAUUUCCUUUUGUUGGAGUUUUGACGUCAAUUAAUUUUGACGCUUUUAUUUCUCUGAGAGAGUUACCGAAAAUGGGAUUUUCGGUGAAUAUAAAUAUGUAUAUAUGAGAGAGUAUGUAUAGAAAAUGCUAGCUAGCCAUAUGUGUCUGUCCACCUUNNNNNNNNNNNNNNNNNNNNUUGUGUUUAGUAGCUCUGAAUACUUUAGGAUUAUUGUAUAUUAUGUGAGGUUCGGAAGUGUUGAAUUAAGAGUGUAAUAUGAAAUUUUCGAGUUAGGGUUGUCCAUCUGCAAGGGAGAUUUUCUUAAUCUUUUCAGUAAAUUUUCCUUGGAGGUGGUCCCCGCACGACUUACUCUGGGUUUCAGGGUGAAAUUCGGGGUGGGUCGUGUCACACUUUGCCCUUGACUUAUCUUCCACUAAUUGAAUAGCUUGCCCAAUUUUAAUUACUUAUGAUACAAAACCUCAAAUCACACGGAUGACUUUGACCUAAGUCAAGUCAAUAUGGUCAGUAAAUUUCGUAAUUCACAACACCAUCUUACUUCCGUCACCAAUUAAUCAAAACAAAACUCGAUCGCUCGCAUCAAAUUUGAACCUUCCCCACCUAUAUGAUUGGCCUCAAUCGAUAAGUUGAUUGGCGAAUAUCUCUCUUGUCGCCUAAUUAUGCUAAUGCGAUCUAUAUUACCAAAUCCCUACACUUAAUAUCUCUUGUAUCUCAACUCGUAUCCAUACAACAAUGAUCUCCCAGGUCUUAUACGGAUCAAAAGUGGUCUCACCACAAUACGAUCAUGUAUGAAUAUGCAUCACAAAAAAAACAUUUAACAUGACCUGACACAAUUUUUCCAUUAAUGCCAAUGAACUGACAAGCCUUAACUGAAAAUAUUUUCCGAAUUAUCAAGAAUCUUUUUCCUUAAAGCUAUACCACCAGCCAAACAUAUUAGUAUUUCCAACAAUUCACCCCGCGAAUUAAUCAUUACUAACCAAUAAUAACCGUCGGAAUCUCAUCCCUCAAUAAUAAAUUCAACAGUUGCUACCAACGACGACUUACAAGCACAAGAAAAAUAUCACUCUCAAAAUCGAUCAACAUAUCUGAAAUUGGCACCUCCACAAAUGAGGAAAGUACGUUAAGAAGAAUCAUCUUUGGGUUAUACUUCUUCCACAUAAUUAUGCGUUGCUAAAGAUGCCAAAGAUCACGAAGACCUACUCGUAUUUCCUGAGUAGAGAUUUUUCCCAUGAAUUUCUCGUUAUCCUUAACGAAUGUUGAAGUCCCAUUAAUAAAUCGUACCAACUAAUAGAUGCCAAAGCACGGAAAUUCCCGCAUCAACUCUAAAGUCGAACCGUCUAAGUUACCAAUCGAAUAACCGUACUACAACCAAAAUACAAACUUUGAGUUGACCAAAUUGAGUGUCAGCACAGCUGAUGUUGGCAGUCUAUCAAACAACGCUAGAUAGUCCUUUCUUGCUACCCCCAUAUGAUGUAAAAUGAUUUUCUUUCUUCCAUUUGAUUUCUAGAUCCAACUAGCUGGAUCACGCAGGUCCAUAAUGUCCAAGGAAGAUGAAAGCACAAAACUGGAGUCCAAAGCUCAAGUCGCCAAAACUGUUAGAUGCCAAAGAUAAAUACUCCUCGUAGAAUGCCGAAUUGUACGAAUGCGUACAAAAAUCUAGAACGCCUUCCUCGUAUGAUGAUCAGCAAUCCUGAGUCGAAUCGCACUCUGCAAGGCCCGACUCUUCAACUCAUGUCGAAAAUUUACUUAUAUCAAGAACAAGUUGGUCUUAGAACACCCAGGACAUCGACGAUACUCAUCGAUUGCCACGCUGCUCCAGUAGUUACCUCAAAGAAUUUGGGGUCUAAAAACGAGCUCUAAAAACAAAUCACACACUCCACACAUAAGUGAUAUACCCGAUUCUCUUAAAAAAAAACCUGAGCUAACACUCAAGUAACGCAAAAUUGACGGCCGCAUGCUCCAUCUAAAAAAUUGUGCGUCAACCACAUUAUCUCCUGCAUAAUGCUCAAGUGGAAGCAUGGGAUUGCUCGAAUCUAAUAGAGCCUCGACAAUAACUUCCAAUCCUAACCAGUCAAUUUCACCACUACAAUACUCUAGACAACAACUACACUUGUGGGAAAGACUACCUCCAGAUCCACAUCUCACUCAUCCUCUUAGGAAUUAUUCGUAUCAGCUAAUAACAAUAGCUAAAGCGAAAAACAAUUAUUUCAAAAUCAAUAACCUCAAUUACACCGCUUAAACUAUCUGUGCAUAUCAUCAUACACAUUACCAAUCCAAAUUUAUUCCAACACUCUUCUCCUAACCAUCACUCGACUCGAUGCCACGAUUUUCUAACCAACCACCACUUCGAAUUUACAACUUCAGCCUUUCUUGCACCAAUGACUAAAGAUAUCGAAGAUUGAGAUUACCUUUAGACGAUAGGGGUUCGUCAGUAAUCUUCUACCAAAGUCAAAAGACCUAAAAGUUGAAAAGAGUCGCUUCCAAACUCUUUUUACCUAUUGACAUAACUGACACCUAUACACAAAAGUUGCAUUUUCCUCCUCUCCACUUGUUGCCGUAAAAUCAAAGCAACCACAACUAUCUCGCAUCCGCUUCACCAUUAUAUACCAACGCCAUUUACACUUACGAUCUUUCUAAAAUUGACAACACAAAUAGAAGAGUGAAUCCCAAAUCACAAUUACCAAACCUAAAUCGACCAAUAACAAUUCCAAAAACCAAACUUCAAUAGCCCCAAUCAACACAUGCAAUAACAUCCACAAUUAAUUAGCUCAAGCAACACCACUCUACUAUUUAUCUCAAAGCAAGACAACAUUUAUUUAACCCCCUUAUAAUCACUUAUUCCAACACCAACUUUAUUUAGAAAUUUCUCAAUCCUUCAUUCACUGCAUGCCCUCUCUAUUAAUAAUACCCAUAAAAAGGCUCAACUUCGCCUCUUAAUCGUAGUCCAUCAACUCGAUCAUUACGUAAAAGAAAAUGAUCACAAAUACAUGCCACUUCCCAACUCAUAAUUGACCUCAAAAUCUCGCAACCACAAAAUAACAUAAAGGAAAGAUGCACAUCACUUACCUUUCCAUUACUCGGAAAAUAACCAAGAUACUCUUGAAGAUCGGCGUACGGAGGCAUAGUCUUGAAGAUGUAGACAUUUAUGGCACAAUAUUGUCCAUAAAUAAGACAAAAACAACUACCUCACAUACCUAAUAAAUAUAUAGCAUCUGAUGCAUAUAAUGCUAAUGAAUAUGCCGCGGUCGGACCAUCACUCUAUAGAUACUAAGUAUCACUAAGUAUAUGAGGUAGUGAUAGGAAUCGGAUAACCUAAUGCUCUGAUACCAACUGACAAGACCUACCCCCGAAUUUCACCCUGAAACCCGAAGUAAAUCCUGCGGGGUCCACCUCCAAGGAAAAUUUACAAAAAAUUCGGCAUAAUCUACCUUGAAAAUGGACAACCCUUACCUGAAAAAUCCAACUUACACUUCUAUAAUCAAACAAACCAGCCUCAACACCUGAAACAUUCCUGCUACCUAAAUUCAUCACAUCUCCCACAAUAUCAAAAACUAAUCCCAAAAUAAUACCACAACCAACAACACGUUCAAUCAACAAUUUAUUGACUGGAUUAUCAGAGCAUAACUAAACAUGAACGAAAAACAAGGAAUAAAGAAUAAACGAAAGCAACCUCUGACUAUGCCUCGACUCCAUGUACGCUCGACCUCACUUAGACUUAGCCUGCAAACUGGGCAUUUAAAACCAAAGGGCCCAAGGAAAAAUAAUUUAAAAAAAACGUUAGAAUGAGUGGAUGAAAAAUAAUCGAGUAACUAAUCACAACAUAACUAACCAAACUUAAUUACUUUCCCAUUUUCCAAUAAUCAAUAAAUCCGGUUGCAUGCAAGUGUUGAUAAAACUUUCACAAAGAAAAAUCCCAAGAAAACGGACUAGCCCCGCUAGUCAAAUUAAUCGACAAAAUAAAUAAUAACCUUUGUAAAAGUAAGUACCAAAAUAACGGACUAGCCCCGCUAGUCAAAGACAACAUUAAAGGUACAUAAAGACCUUUGUAAAUUGAAAUAUCGAAAAGAUGGACUAGCCCCGCUAGUCAAGACAAUAAAUAUUAAAUAAGAAACAGCUAUAGCCAUACAAGUGAGCCUCUCAGGCUCGGGUGCCUCCCAGGAAAAAAUACUCUCAUACUCCCUACACAUUCACGUUAUGAUAACAGAGAGGGUGCAAGGCUUGCGUGAUAUAGUCGACUACAUCACAUCACCCGAAGGCGGAAAUGGCUUGAGUAACCCCACUUAAAACGUGGAAGCCACAUCGCCUCGAAAGACGGAACAUCAUGCUAGCAUUAGUAAUAUAUUAUCCGACAAGUAUGACAUAAAUAAAGAACAUAAAUCCAUAUGAGUUUUCCCGAAACUCAUAACUAAAGCAUAAGUACGAUUCCCAACCGUACUCAAAGAAUUCAAAGAGCAAAGAAAAAUAAUUAAAUUCGAUGACAUGUCCCACACGUUAAAAUGCUCAAUGAAAUAAUUAACUUAAAUAAUUUUCAUCUUUCGAAAACUAGGCAAUAUACAAAUCUGGAUAUAAUCUCAAAUCCGGAAAUCAUAAAAAUAUCAAAACUCAAAUACCAAAUCUCUAACCCAUACUCAAAUCCAUAAGUUCAUUAUCGAAAACAUAAUCAAUAUGUCAAUCUCCAAUAAAUUCCAUAAAUCAUGGCAAAGAUUAAUCCAUGCAUCAAAAUCAAAUAACUUUAAAGACGAUUUCAUAAGCCGAAAUUACAAUUUAAGCUUGGAAAAUAUAAUGGGCAACUUAUAAAAUCAUGCAUGCAUAUUAAUUAAAAACCAAAAUGUCCACUCACAGAUUUAGGCCUAAGCCUGACAAAUUCCGAAUCGCCACUCAAGUGAGGCCUCCUCAAAUCCUGACACAACAACCAUGCUUAGGACCAAACUUCAAUUCCGGAAAAUAAUACUUAAAUUUAAACACCCAAAACUCUUCCGCUUAACCCACUACCCUUACUAGGGUUAAGUUUACCGGAUUCACAUCAAACUCCACCACAACCUUAAUUCAUCAAUUCUAACAUUCUAGAAUAAAUACCAAGGAAAUUUAACAGCCGGAUUUUCAUUCUAACAACCGGCAAAAUCCUUAAUCUUUGAAAAAUCUCAAACCUUAUCAAAACUCCUCCAAAAAUUCCAAACUUUACUUCAUUAAACUCCUCUCAUAAAAACAAACUCAAAAACAUGAAAAGCUCUCAUGUUAACAGAAUAAUCCUCUCAUCAAACACAACAACUUUCAUAACUAGCACUUAGUCCAAUUCUAAGGCUAACAAGGGUUAUCGAACCCAAACAUCCAAAAAUCCCCAAUUCAAACCCUAGCUAGCCUGAAAAUCCUCCUACACACUUCGAAUUGGCUAAUUACCUUCUAGGGGAUUGUUACACAGGGAGAGCACUUCCAAAUGAGACCUGAAUCAUCGGUGAUGGCGGCUGGAGAAGCGAGUUCCGACGACGGGACUCCAUAACGCAGUCGGAGCUUCAGGGCGAUCUCUCUCCCUCACGACGGCGCUAUGCCAGCUCCCCACCUGUCCAAGAAGAGAGCUGGGUCGACGGGCGACUGUUUGGGACCGGUGCGGCGGUCGAUGGUGGCUGGACGGUGGCGGACGACGCUGGGGAACUUCCGACAGGAGAAGGGCUCGGGGGAGAAAAGAGGGAAGGGAGAGAGAGAGAGAGAAAUGAGGUGGGCUUUUCCCUCCUCUUGGCCCGGUCCAGAAAUUAAUACCCCAAAAAUAAAACCCAACAACAAUUUUACCUCUGACUAAAUAAUGCUUACUCUUUUAUCUGACAACUUUUACAUGUUAUCUCCGAUUUAAGUGUGCCACUUGCCUACGUACUCUGCUUAACGUCCUCCACGACCUUUCAUGAAGAAAGUUUUCCCAAAAUAGUUUUCCUACAAAAAGUCAACUGCAGGGUCCUUAAAUAGUAAACGGUUACUCAACUCAGUAAAAUGUCAAAGUAACAUAAAAGUCAAUAACCGUAAAUUAACUUAAGAACCGGGAUGUGACAGUAAAAGUUUAAUAUAUAUCUAUUCAAAAAACAAAAGUUUAAUAUAUUU